UACAGAGGUCUCAAGCGUUGUUCGGAUUCAUUGGGCGUAAAGGGUGCGUAGGUGGCGGGGUAAGUCUGGUGUGAAAUCUCGGGGCUCAACCCCGAAACUGCACUGGAUACUGCCUUGCUUGAGUACUGGAGAGGAGACUGGAAUUUACGGUGUAGCAGUGAAAUGCGUAGAUAUCGUAAGGAAGACCGGUGGCGAAGGCUAGUCUCUGGACAGUUACUGACACUGAGGCACGAAGGCCAGGGGAGCAAACGGG
rnacentral:rRNA from 1 species